AGAGUUUGAUCCUGGCUCAGGAUGAACGCUAGCGGCAGGCUUAACACAUGCAAGUCGAGGGGUAACGGGGAAGCUUGCUUCCGCCGACGACCGGCGCACGGGUGCGUAACGCGUAUACAAUCUACCUUAUACUGGGGUAUAGCCUUUAGAAAUGAAGAUUAACCCCCCAUAGUCUCUUAGAGUGGCAUCACUUCUAGAGUAAAGGUUACGGUAUAAGAUGAGUAUGCGUUCUAUUAGUUUGUUGGUGUGGUAACGGCACACCAAGACUACGAUAGAUAGGGGCCCUGAGAGGGGGAUCCCCCACACUGGUACUGAGACACGGACCAGACUCCUACGGGAGGCAGCAGUGAGGAAUAUUGGACAAUGGAGGCAACUCUGAUCCAGCCAUGCCGCGUGCAGGAAGACUGCCCUAUGGGUUGUAAACUGCUUUUAUACAGGAAGAAACACCUCUACGUGUAGAGGCUUGACGGUACUGUAAGAAUAAGGAUCGGCUAACUCCGUGCCAGCAGCCGCGGUAAUACGGAGGAUCCAAGCGUUAUCCGGAAUCAUUGGGUUUAAAGGGUCCGUAGGUGGAUAAUUAAGUCAGAGGUGAAAUCUUGCAGCUCAACUGUAAAAUUGCCUUUGAAACUGGUUAUCUUGAGUUAUUAUGAAGUAGUUAGAAUAUGUAGUGUAGCGGUGAAAUGCAUAGAUAUUACAUAGAAUACCAAUUGCGAAGGCAGAUUACUAAUAAUCAACUGACACUGAUGGACGAAAGCGUGGGUAGCGAACAGGAUUAGAUACCCUGGUAGUCCACGCCGUAAACGAUGGUUACUAGCUGUUUGGACUUCGGUCUGAGUGGCUAAGCGAAAGUGAUAAGUAACCCACCUGGGGAGUACGUUCGCAAGAAUGAAACUCAAAGGAAUUGACGGGGGCCCGCACAAGCGGUGGAGCAUGUGGUUUAAUUCGAUGAUACGCGAGGAACCUUACCAGGGCUUAAAUGUAAGUUGCAUUAGUUAGAGAUAGCUAUUUCUUCGGACCACUUACAAGGUGCUGCAUGGUUGUCGUCAGCUCGUGCCGUGAGGUGUCAGGUUAAGUCCUAUAACGAGCGCAACCCCUGUUGUUAGUUGCCAGCGAGUCAUGUCGGGAACUCUAGCAAGACUGCCAGUGCAAACUGUGAGGAAGGUGGGGAUGACGUCAAAUCAUCACGGCCCUUACGUCCUGGGCUACACACGUGCUACAAUGGUAGGUACAGAGAGCAGCCACUGCGCGAGCAGGAGCGAAUCUACAAAACCUAUCACAGUUCGGAUCGGAGUCUGCAACUCGACUCCGUGAAGCUGGAAUCGCUAGUAAUCGGAUAUCAGCCAUGAUCCGGUGAAUACGUUCCCGGGCCUUGUACACACCGCCCGUCAAGCCAUGGAAGUUGGAAGUGCCUGAAGUCCGUCACCGCAAGGAGCGGCCUAGGGUAAAGUCGAUAACUAGGGCUAAGUCGUAACAAGGUAAAUCACUAGU
rnacentral:rRNA from 1 species